rnacentral:rRNA from 1 species
UACAGGCUUAACACAUGCAAGUCGAGGGGCAUCAGUUUGGUUUGCUUGCAAACCAAAGCUGGCGACCGGCGCACGGGUGAGUAACACGUAUCCAACCUGCCUCAUACUCGGGGAUAGCCUUUCGAAUGAAAGAUUAAUAUCCGAUAGCAUAUAUUUCCCGCAUGGGUUUUAUAUUAAAGAAAUUCGGUAUGAGAUGGGGAUGCGUUCCAUUAGUUUGUUGGCGGGGUAACGGCCCACCAAGACUACGAUGGAUAGGGGUUCUGAGAGGAAGGUCCCCCACAUUGGAACUGAGACACGGUCCAAACUCCUACGGGAGGCAGCAGUGAGGAAUAUUGGUCAAUGGACGCGAGUCUGAACCAGCCAAGUAGCGUGAAGGAUGACUGCCCUAUGGGUUGUAAACUUCUUUUAUAUGGGAAUAAAGUGGUCCACGUGUGGAUUUUUGUAUGUACCAUAUGAAUAAGGAUCGGCUAACUCCGUGCCAGCAGCCGCGGUAAUACGGAGGAUCCGAGCGUUAUCCGGAUUUAUUGGGUUUAAAGGGAGCGUAGGCGGAUUGUUAAGUCAGUUGUGAAAGUUUGCGGCUCAACCGUAAAAUUGCAGUUGAUACUGGCAGUCUUGAGUGCAGUAGAGGUGGGCGGAAUUCGUGGUGUAGCGGUGAAAUGCUUAGAUAUCACGAAGAACUCCGAUUGCGAAGGCAGCUCACUGGAGUGUAACUGACGC